AGUGAACGCUGGCGGCGUGGAUUAGGCAUGCAAGUCGAACGAUACCGCAAGGUAUAGUGGCAAAAGGGCGAGUAACACAUGAGUAAUCUACCUUCGAGUGGGGAACAACCUUGGGAAACCGAGGCUAAAACCGCAUAAGACCACGGCCUGGCAUCAGGCUGUGAUCAAAUGGGGGGGACCGUAAGGCCUCUAGCUUGAAGAUGAGCUCGUGUCCUAUCAGCUUGUUGGCGGGGUAAUGGCCCACCAAGGCUUUUGACGGGUAGCUGGACUGAGAGGUUGGUCAGCCGCAUUGGGACUGAGACACUGCCCAGACUCCUACGGGAGGCUGCAGUCGAGGAUAUUUAGCAAUGCCCGAAAGGUGACUAUGCGACGCCGCGUGUGCGAUGAAGGUCUUCGGAUCGUAAAGCACUGUCAGCUGGGAGGAAUCUCGGGGGUUUUAACAAAGCCGCCGGGUGACAGUACCAGCAGAGGAAGCCACGGCUAACGU
rnacentral:rRNA from 1 species